GGCAUGUACUAAAAGGCGAAACGUCGAAACGAAACGACCGAAACGAAACGACCGAAACCAUCGAAACGGCCGAAACGACCGAAACGAAACGACCGAAACGAAACAACCGAAACGAAACGACCGAAACGAAACAACCGAAACGAAACGACCGAAAAUGUAAAUUACAGGAAAAUUGAAAAAUGCGGAUACGGACGGACGGAC